AUGCACGAGUUGUUAGGAUUAGUCAAGUUGAAUAGUGGCAAGCUACAUGCAUGGAUCAAGUUUGGCCUGGUCGUGUGGCCGUUGAGGAGAAGCCGCACAAGAGCUGAACGUGGGUGCAUGCAGGUAGUGGAGAGUGAGAAACGGAUCAAGCCGUUGUGGCUUGGCCAUGCGAGCAUUGCAUAUUUCCCUUUAAAUAGGCUUGUAACCAUUUUGCUAUUAGAGAUGAGGAAUACAGAAAAGGCACAAGUGCGUGUGCCAGAAAAGCUCUGCGUGUUUGUGUUCUUCCUCUCCAUUGUGUAUUACGUGAGAAGUGUAGGUGUGUCCACUGCGUACUCGCAUGUGUGUAUCCAUCGAUCUCCUGGGCCAUGCCAACAUUUGGUAUUCAGAGCCAUGGUGAUUGAAGGUUCGCGCACUCCGUCUCCGGGUCGCCGCCGUGUCUCGGCCUCGCCGGUGGUGCGCCGAGGCCGGAGCCCGACGUGGCGUGGCUGCCGCGAGGUGGUGGUGCAGCAGGAGGUCGUCCACCAGGCCAGCAGCACCGUCAUCUACCCGGCGCUGACGGCGACGAACUACUUCGAGUGGUCGCUGAUCAUGAAGGUGAACAUGGAGGCCCAACGCGUGUGGGACGCCAUCAAGGGAGGCGGGAGCUUCAGCCAGGACAGGGCGGCGCUUGCGGCAAUUCUGCGAGCCGUGCCGGAGGAGAUGCACUCCACGCUUGCCAUGAAGGCGACGGCAAAGGAGGCAUGGGAUGCCAUCAAGAUCAUGCGGGUCGGCGAUGCCCGCGUCCCUGAGGCCAAGGCGCAGACUCUCCUCAAGGAGUUUGAUGCCGUCCGCAUGAGGAGUGGCGCGACCCUCGAUGAGCUCGCCAUGCGCAUGAACGGGGUCACCAACAAGCUGCGCACGCUCGGCUAG
rnacentral:rRNA from 1 species